rnacentral:lncRNA from 1 species
GGUUUGUACGGCGAGAGAAGGCAACAGCAAACGAAAAUUAGCUCGGUCGAUGCAACGAAGAAUUACAAGCUAGUACUACAGCACACAAGCAGACACAGACACCUCCAUCGAUCGAUCCCCAUUAUUUUUUCUACACCACCAAGCGAGUCUCCAAGGUCUCCAACAAUGAGACGACAUCCCGCCCGUCAGUCCAGCGUAAGCACAAACUGACCAUAUUAUAUACGGAGUAUAUCUCCGUCGAAGGUACCGCAGCUACGACGCAGCAUGCUCGAGCGAGCUAGCAGCAGCAGCCGCCGCCGCCGCCUCCGUUGUUGUCGCCGUUUCCUCCUCCCCAGCCACCGCCGUAGCCGUUUCCUCCUCCGCGGCGGCCGCCGCUGCCGCUGCCGCCGCCAGAGCUUGUGGAGGUCUUCUUGGUGUCUCCGGCGCCGGUCCAGUCGGAGAUGAUGGUCUUGAUGAUGUUGCCCCUCUUGGGGUUCCUGUUCCCGUCCGUCUUCUUCGUCUGUCCGUCGCCCUUCCCGUCCAUGCCGCCGAUCCCGAAACGCGCACCCUCGCACUCACGGAGAAGCUAGCACGCGAGCGCAGGCAAAGGGGAGUGAGUGUGUGACAGUGUGAGCUUGCCAGCUUUGGAUGGGAGAUAGCCUUAUUAUAGGCUUUGAUGGCCUCCUAGAAAGCACUAGAUUAUUCUAGCAAGGUAACUAGCCCCGAUCGAUGACGACUAGUCGACGAGAGGUUUUGCACCAGCACCCCCAGCCGCCAAGGCCGCUGAGCCGCAGCGGUACUCCAGUAGCAUUAUUCCAUAAUGCAAGGGGGUUUAUUAGCAAGUGCUGUUGUGGCCACUGAAACACUCCACUAUCUGAGGCUCGAGUCGUGCGUGCGUAUUGGAUAGGACGGGACAAGUGGAUCGAGUGUCUCGCCUCGGGCUUUCCGUCCCUCGGUUGAAUCAUC